rnacentral:rRNA from 1 species
CCCUACGGGGCGCUCAGGUGGUAUUUCAGGAACUGGUGUCUCCGGUCCUCCUGAGAAUGGGGGGGCAUGUCCAGCAGAAAGCUCCGGGCCUUCGAGCCAUUCUGCAGGCCCCCGUCAAAAGGAAGCAGGAGGGAACCCUGGCAAUCCGGGGAAUGCUGGACCUGGAGACGCUUCCCCCUUCUUUUUUACCACAAUCGAAAAAAUCGGGACCUCUUUAUGAGGACCUGCGGAACAGCUUCGCGUAUAUACUCUUAGAGGCCCAUGUGCAGGAAUUGGCGGGAGGGC